UUCUGCACAUCGAUAUUUAUUGCGGAUUGUUUUGCAAUUUUAAUGUUCCCGGAUUUAAUUUAUUGAACACUUAAGUGGGGUUAUAUACACUAUCAUAUCUAUUUAGAAAUUAAAUUUUGUGUACGAGUAUGAUUAAUUAGUCAUUCAUGAUAUAGUUUUCAAAAUGAUACAAGAACGGUGCUGAUGUACAUAGAUAUUAAUCACUAUCUUAAAACUUUAUUAUUCUAAUAUUUAUAACUAGUAUAUAGAAAAUUUUGCUGGUAGUUUGCAUUAAACUGAGUAUGUACUGGACUUGCUGUUGGACCUAACUACUUCAUGACUUCAAAUUUUACAUUUUCUUUUGUUAUAAAUGAGUAAUUGAAGGGAACAAGUUCUCAAUAUUAUUAGCUCAAUGGUGGAUAUCAAGGCAAUAUAAACUGUCCCUAAAAUCAUUUGGCCAAAAUAAAAAAAGUCGCUUCAUUUUUGUGAUUUGUAAAUAUUCUACUUUUACCAGUGUUUGUCUUGGAGUAUAGUGCAAAUGUGGAAGCUAUCUAGCUGCACAAGUUAAAUGCUGAUAAAAGCCCUUUCCAGCUAACCUUUGUUAAUCAGGUGAAGCGAUGUGCAGAGAUGUCAAGAAAGCUGCGCUUUUUUAAGGAUCAAAUCAGUAAAGCUGGUCUGCUUGGGUCUAUACGUCCAGUUUCACAACCAGAUAUUGAGUUGGAGGAAUUAGAGUUUCAACUUGGUGAGCACGAACAUGAGCUAAUUGAAAUGAACUCUAAUAGUGAAAGACUUCGACAAUCAUACAAUGAGCUCCUGGAGUUCAAGAUGGUAUUACAAAAGGGGUUUUAAUCUUUCAGGGGUUUUGUUUGUGUUGGAGUUUCUGAUCGUAGUGAUCAAUUGGCCUGGUUUGAGUUUCGCAGCAGGAGAUAGUUUCUCUGUACGAGAGGUUCUGUCAGCUCGAUCAUAGUGGCGGAGGUACGUGACCUAAGGUAAAAUUCCAGUUUCUUGCUGUCUAAACUCACUCAGUCCUUGGCUGCUUUAAACAAUUUUAGGCUAUAACUUUAAUUUCAGUUUUGUUUAGGUGCUGUACUCUGUAUACUAACUUUCUAUGCGAGUUUGCGUCUUUCAAUAUAGCUAAUUCUAUCUACUUGGAUCAUUCUCUUAUGACAAGGCAAUCCAAAUAUGGUCAUGGCACUAGCUGGGAAUAAAGCAGAUCUAGUAGAGUCAACUCUCGGUCAAUAUGCACUUGUUGCUUUAUUUUAGCAUUCUUACUAUGGUGUUUGAAAGCUUUUAAAUUUUUUAUUUUAUUCUUUUCUUAUAAGGGAACACGUAAAGCCAUGAAAGAUGUUUGUUUGAAAUAUA